CAGGGAUUGCCCCAGUAACGGCGAGUGAAGCGGCAACAGCUCAAAUUUGAAAUCUGGCUUCGGCCCGAGUUGUAAUUUGCAGAGGAAGCUUUAGGCGCGGCACCAUCUGAGUCCCCUGGAACGGGGCGCCACAGAGGGUGAGAGCCCCGUAUAGAUGGACGCCUAGCCUGUGUAAAGCUCCUUCGACGAGUCGAGUAGUUUGGGAAUGCUGCUCUAAAUGGGAGGUAAAUUUCUUCUAAAGCUAAAUACCGGCCAGAGACCGAUAGCGCACAAGUAGAGUGAUCGAAAGAUGAAAAGCACUUUGAAAAGAGGGUUAAAUAGCACGUGAAAUUGUUGAAAGGGAAGCGCUUGUGACCAGACUUGCGCCGGGCGGAUCAUCCGGUGUUCUCACCGGUGCACUCCGCCCGGCUCAGGCCAGCAUCGGUUCUCGUGGGGGGACAAAGGUUCCGGGAACGUAGCUCCUCCGGGAGUGUUAUAGCCCGGGGCGUAAUGCCCUCGCGGGGACCGAGGACCGCGCUUCGGCAAGGAUGCUGGCGUAAUGGUCAUCAGCGACCCGUCUUGAAACACGGACCAAGGAGUCAAGGUUUUGCGCGAGUGUUUGGGUGUAAAACCCGCACGCGUAAUGAAAGUGAACGUAGGUGAGAGCUUCGGCGCAUCAUCGACCGAUCCUGAUGUUUUCGGAUGGAUUUGAGUAGGAGCGUUAAGCCUUGGACCCGAAAGAUGGUGAACUAUGCUUGGAUAGGGUGAAGCCAGAGGAAACUCUGGUGGAGGCUCGCAGCGGUUCUGACGUGCAAAUCGAUCGUCAAAUCUGAGCAUGGGGGCGAAAGACUAAUCGAACCAUCUAGUAGCUGGUUAC
rnacentral:rRNA from 1 species